rnacentral:misc_RNA from 1 species
GAAAAUUUAGGCAAACAUUCAAGGAUCACGGACUUCAAUGAUGGAAAUAUCAUCUUAUUAGCUUCCUCUACUUCUAUUAUUCCUUCCAUCAUGUUACAAUAUUUCAGCUCUACCUCUUGAAGUUGCGAGAGGCACAAUGCCAUUGACCCAGUACAUAUAUACCUCAAGCUGCUACAAUUUUCAAUUUGGAGCAAUCUUAGGUUCUUGAAGUCCAAAAUUCCGUGAGGAUGUUUGUUCCAUAACUGUCUCAGCAUAGGUAGAUUCAUUAACUUCAAUUCACUUAAUCGAGGUAGCAGCCCAACAUGCCCAUUAUCAGAAGAUAGCCCUUCCAAGUCAAACACUACUUCCAGUGAAUCAAUGUGCUUUACAUUUAUCUCUCUUAACUUGUUCAAGAACUGUAACAAAUGGGCCGAUAUGGCAUUGGAAGUAAAUGUACGUGUGUCCACGGUUAGGCUUUCCACGUUGUGGAAGAGCUUUCCUUGGAUUUUGCCAUUCCAGAGCUCAGGAAACUCAGAUACUUGAAAACGUGCGCCAACCUGCAUUUUUGUUAACUGACAUACUAUGGUCUCAUUAAGGUUUCCUUCCCAAUGUUGUUUAUCUGCGUAUUUGUUCAGUCGUAUUCCCCGUAGCUUUGGUGUGAUUAAGAAUCCUCCAGAGAAUUUCGUCAUCCGAAAGCAUUCUGUAACAAUAACGACUUCUAAAGAUGGAAAAUUGAAGACGUGAUUCCCAGUGCAAAAGCUGGUGAGACUCCUUAAACCACUAAGUUCCAAAUAU